GGGGACCCUGGGCAAGUGGGGGACCCGCCGCCUAAGUGCUGCUGGAGACCCGAAGCACCGCCAGGUGAGUAAAAAUUAAAAAGGCGCCUCUAGCCAGGGAAGGGAUUCUCACUGGGUGUGGGGCCCU